ncrna:unclassified sequences nadA RNA
GGCUUCAACAUCCCCGCCGGUUGGGCGCGGCUUUUUCGGUCGGUUGCGAAGAGGACGCGUAGUGAAUCGGCUGUAGCU